AAAGUUUGAUCCUGGCUCAACKGGGAKAGGUCGUUCAAUACUACCAGACUAGAGAGCGGUAGAGGGAGGUGGAAUUCCCGGUGUAGUGGUGAAAUGCGUAGAUAUCGGGAGGAACACCAGUGGCGAAAGCGGCCUCCUGGACCGUUUCUGACGCUCAGACGCGAAAGCUAGGGUAGCAAACGGGAUUAGAGACCCCGGUAGUCCUAGCUGUAAACGAUGUGAACUUGGCGUCGGUGGUGUAAAAACCAUCGGUGCCGAAGCCAACGCGAUAAGUUCACCGCCUGGGGACUACGGCCGCAAGGUUAAAACUCAAAGGAACUGACGGGACCCCGCACAAGCAGCGGAGCGUGUGGUUUAAUUCGAUGUUACACGAAGAACCUUACCCAGGUUUGACAUGUUGGUGGUAGGGAAGCGAAAGCAGACCGACCCGCAAGGGAGCCUUCACAGGUGUUGCAUGGCUGUCGUCAGCUCGUGUCGUGAGAUGUUCGGUUAAGUCCGCUAACGAGCGCAACCCUCGCUGUAUGUUACAUGUGUCAUACGGGACCGCCGGUAUCAAGCCGGAGGAAGGUGGGGAUGACGUCAAGUCAGCAUGGCCUUUAUAUCUGGGGCUACACACACGCUACAAUGGUCGGUACAAUGGGUUGCUAAGCCGCGAGGUAGAGCCAAUCCCCAAAGCCGGCCUCAGUUCAGAUCGUAUGCUGCAACUCGCCUGCGUGAAGUCGGAGUUGCUAGUAAACGCGCGUCAGCUAUAGUGCGUUGAAUACGUUCCCGGGGUUUGUACACACCGCCCGUCACGUCAUGGGAGCUGGCAACACCUGAAGCCGGUAGCCUAAYCGCAAGGAGGGCGCCGUCGAAGGUGGGGUCGGUGACUGGGAMGAAGUCGUAACAAGGUAACCGUAAUCACUAGUGAAUUC
rnacentral:rRNA from 1 species